GACAUGGUUUUUACAGCUGAUAUAGCAGAGCUUACUCCUGAGAGCAGACGUAUUGGAAGCUGUCAGGGAGGAACCAUGGCUACCAUCUCUGAACCGGACCCUGGACUCUCUGAGGAACCUGAGGACACGUCUUUGGACCGGAGGGAGCGCAGGAAGAGAAGAUUUGCUGGUAGAGCAAAGAAGAAGGCUAAGUUCAGACGCCGUGGAAGCCGUCAGAGAGUUACAAUGGUCACCAUCAUCUCUGAACCGGACCCUGGACUCUCUGAGGAACCUGAGGACACGUCUUUGGACCGGGAGGAGACCAGGAAGAGAAGAUUUGCUCUAUGGUUUCACAUCACUGUCAUUGUGAGCAUCGGACUGCUGAGUAUUCUCCUCAUCUCCCUGCGCUUCAGUGAGUCUAAAUCAUAUCAUCCUGAAUAGAAUUACAAUAUGUCAUAAUCAUAUUAAUGAUUGUAUUAAUAGCAAUGAUAAGGUUAAAUAUUUUUGUUCGAUUUAGUGAUAAUAAUAGGGUUAGCACACAUACACCGCACGCACACACAUAAACACUGCAUACACGCACACACACAAUCCACACACACGUGCACGAACACACACGCACUGCAAACACGGGCGCGCUGAUGCAGACGUUUCAAGACAAGGGCAGCGCAGGACACCG